AAAGAGAUAGCUGGGUCCAAUGGUGGUUCCAUUCCCAGAUUUCCAAGGAAUCUCCAUACUUCUUUCCAUAUUGGGUGUACCAAUUUGCAGUCCCACCAGCAAU
rnacentral:pre_miRNA from 1 species